rnacentral:sRNA from 1 species
CUUCUUCGAUCUGUUGCGGGCAAAUAAAAUGGAUAUGCGUAUCAAUACCGCCUGCAGUAAUGAUCAUGCCUUCACCGGCAAUGACUUCAGUACCUGCGCCCACUGCAAUUGUGACGCCGGGCUGGAUAUCAGGAUUGCCUGCCUUGCCGAUGGCAGAAAUAUAACCACCUUUGAUACCAAUAUCGGCUUUAACAAUACCCCAGUGAUCAAUAAUCAAUGCAUUUGUAAUCACGGUAUCAGCAACUUCAGCUGCCAGGCCUUGCCCCUGGCCCAUGCCAUCGCGGAU